rnacentral:tRNA from 1 species
GGGGACCUCUCUAUGAUCUAUGAUCAUAGAGAUUUAUACAAGUCUUAAACAAUGCUUUUAUCCUUACCAAC